GCCAUUAAUGUUCUUGUAUUGAAACACAAACUGCAAUGUGACACAGCAAUGUGACCUGCUGGUAGUGGUUAUUUUCAAAGCAUAUCCAAAUGCUAUUUAGGUGAUUUAGGUUGUCUUUCCCAGGACAUUGGAAAGCCUUGAUCAGUAAACCAAGGCAUUUAUAGUGAAUUCUUAAUAAUGAUGAUUUUCUGCCUUCUUUUUAAGUCAUUUUUUUCCCUAAUCUCAUUUGUUGUGCUGUGCUAUGAUAGUCAUAAAAUUCUUAAGAAAAUAUUAAGAAAAUAAAUCUUUAAUUUUAACUACAGCUUAGUAUCAUCAUCAUUCUGCCAAGGAUCCCUAAAAGAACUUGUUGUCCUCUUAGUGUCAGAUGACAACAUUUUAAAGACAAAUAAACAUUUCUGAUCUGGUAGAUUUAUGAAUAUAAAGUCAUAAUAAAAUAAGGAAAAGAAAGGGAAAAAUAUUUUCAUUCCAAAUUAAAGUUUCUAUUUUUACCCAGUGCUCACUCUUAUUUUCCACAAUACAGGAGGCAUUACAGUCUCUUUAAAUAGGACAAAAAAACCUGCCUGCUAUUUGGACUAAGAUUUUGGAUGUUUAUUAAAAGCACUGAAUUUAUCUAGAUAUUGUGAGAACGGGCAAUAAAAUCUGCACCUUCAAGGCCACAAACAGGUGUUAAAACUUCCCACAGGGACCAGAGGAGGGACUGUCUGCUUUAAUCCUUCUCUGUGCUGGCCACCAAGCAACUGAGGGCCACCUUAGUGGCUGAAUGUGUUGCAGUUGCCUUUUGCAAAUAAUGCAGCACCACAGAAACCUGCAAUCAAACUGAGAUUCCAAUGGAAAGUCUUGGAUAACAGUGUUUCCAAUACAUAAAUUAAAUUGCCUCACCCAUACUUGGAUAUCAUGGUGCAGUGCUGAGUUCUGCAUACAAAUUAUUCUUGCAAAGCUAUGCAGUUGUUCCUGAGAUCAGACCCCACACAUGUUGCUUUAGAAAUUUAGGACUGACCAUUGCAAGGGGUCAAGCAGUGGCAGCUCAGUGAUAGCAUGUGUAAGGCAUUUAAUCUCUGCAUCAUUGCUUUAGCAGGAGAUUGACAGCUAUAGUUUUGUCGGACUUGAGGAUAUGGUUUUAUUUAAUUUGGGGAGAGGGAAGUUGAAAGCAUUGGUCUAUGCAUAACUCUGGGAAACAGCAAGGAAAGUCUGGAAAUGCACAUACUGCUCCACAGCAGAUUAGUUUUAACUCUACCAAAGACAGUAGUGAUUUUAUUCUUUCUUCUUUCUUGAUACCAUUGGGAUUUUAAAAAAUCAAACUAAAAAUUGAUUCCCACAUGAAAACAUGAGAAAAGUUGUACCUGCGCAAUGUUCAUAGCAGGGAAGACUUUCCUAAGCUCUUCAACUUCCUUCUACUUAUAGCAAACAUGCUCUGCCAUAAGUUCACAUCAUGAAGAACUCCAAGGAGAAAAGUAAAUCAAUGUUUUUUAUCUUCAGUUGCCUUCUCCUACGCAUAUGAUACAUCUCUAUUUACAGUGCUUUGAAAAAGCUUUUAACAAGAGAAGAGAAGAGAAAAUGUUAUAUCAAUUAAAAAGCAAUUCAUACAGAACGGCUCCAUUGGAAAACCAUAAUACUGACAAAACUGAUUUCAGGCUUAGUUUGGCAGACAAAUCUGCAUGACAUUUUCAGUUUUUCUAUAUCUGCAUGAUGUCCCCAGUUUUGUUUUUUAAAAUAGGCUAUUUAGAUAAUGCCUGGAGCAGGCUUACCUAGGGACAGAGGUCAAACAAAGUUAAAAAGAUAAAACCAGAUAUAUUAUCAAAGGACCUUCAGGUACAUUGUCAGACAAAUCCUCCCCAAGGGACUACACCAGAGAUGGACAAUGGUCAUGAGUUUUUCAGACAGAUAUAAGUUUGGUCUAUUUUCACACCAGGAGUUAAUUCCUCAAUUAUUGCUUCAGGUAAUGAAGUCAUGUACCCCCAGUUCUCUCCACCCCACCCCGAUUCACUUUUGUUUACACUUUUCAGGGCCUGAGGAAGAGGGUGUCCUUGGUUCUAAGGCUUAAAAGGAUUGUUUUGUCUGUCCAAAAUGUGAAGAGGUCUUGCUAACUCUCUAUGGAGUUCAGAGUUAUACACAAAUGCAGUACAGGAUUUGAAAAUUAUAAAAGCUAAAAAUCUUAAGGUACACUGAGCGAGAAAAUGAGCAUCUGUCACCGCCUAAUCUAUCAUGAGGUGGCUGUUUUUUCCGAUUGUUCCUGGAGGGAAAAACUCUGUAACAAAUCCAUAUUAAUUGAACACAUUAAAUUCUUACUUAGAUAUGUAUUACAGAGGCAAAGUGUGCUGAAGAAAGCAAAAAUAAAGUAAAUGAAGUCAAUUCUGCUUCAAAACAAUUCUGAAGAAAGAACAAGAAUCUAGCAGUUUCUUUUGCUGGUCAGUGAGAGGAGCCUGUGUAUUACAGCUUGCUUGUUACAAGCCAGGGAGUAGCAGAACUGACUGAUACAGCCUCUGGGAGAAGGGGAGAGAACAAAAUAUAAGCCAGGCAGGAUGGACGGGAACACAAACUUCCUUUGAUGUAAUAUUUAGCAUUAGUCCUUUCAGUAUAACAGAGCUGAGUGUUACGGCCUCUGGGAGAAAAGGAGAGAGCAAAAUAUGAGCCAGGCAGAAUGGAUGGCAAUACAACAAUACAAGCCUUCCUUUGAUGUAAUAUUUAGUAUCAGUCCUUUUGGUUUUUCUUGCUUGGAGAGAAUCAGCAAAUACACCAUUAAGACUCAAUGACAAGAAACCUGCACCUGUAAUUUAAAAAAAAAAAAUUAAAAAAAAUACAUGGAUUAAAAUUGUUUAUGCAAGCUGUGGUAAAGUUGAGAGAAAUAAUACAUAUUUUACUUAUUAUUUAUAGAUAACUUUUAUAUAUAUAUAUAUAUAUAUAUAUAGGUUUUGCAUUGUGUUUUUAGAUGCAUAAAUUGAAAUUUGCCAUUUUAGCUUCUCUCCGUAUUUAGUACAUCCUUAUAAAGGAUGUAUUAAAUAUUUUCUGAGCUUUUAAAUUAUGAAUGUUCAAUUCUUUGCAUAGAAGUUAAAGUUACAAUUCUAAGCAGAUUUAAAUUAACCCCUAGUAUGAAAAUAGAUUCCUUCAUAGAUCAAGGAAAAUCAGUAUUGGUAGUUCAUCUGAGAUACAAAUGUUUUUUCAGUUAUCAUGAUCUUCUCAGAGUUUUGUUGUCUAUGCAUAUUUGAGUGAGCAGAUUACAAAAAAUAUUGAGUAACUAAGAAUGAUUAGGAAGUGUUGCCUCUAGCAACUCAUACAAUAUCUGGUAAUAGAGAUUUAUAUUCUGAAAGGCAUGGGUGUUUAAAAUUACUUUCCAGUCUCCAUGGAAACUCUGCUGAGUUAGUUACUGCAGUCAAGGCUUAGAUAUAUAAACAAAAGUGAGGCUAUGAUAGCUAAAGGGAAAGUCUGUGUUUAUCUGAGGUUGUUAAAGGGCUUUUUAUAGUGUCUACCAUAGCAAACCUGUCUUCCAAUCCAGCGGGCUAUUAAAAAUCCAAAACUUAACUUUUUUUCACAUGUAAUUUAAGGUUUUAUACUUUAAAUAGUUAAUUAGGUGUCUUGAAUUUGCUUUCUCAAAAGAGACAACUCGAAGGACUCAUAUUUUCAAGAAUUUCGGGAUAUGUUACAAGCUGUUUUAUGAGACUAUCUAAACUGCAAGCUUUGAGCUAAGCUGAAUUUGUUUUAAUUCCAGUUCUAUUGUCUCUUUCUCAAUAAAGUUAUACGAGGAAAUCUAUUCAGAGCUUACAAGAGCUGUCCUGUCAGCUUUAUUUGAUGUAUCCCUGGAGGAAGAUGGGAACUGUGAAAGAGAGUGACAAAACUGUGAUUCUCUUUAAGACUCCGAAAAGUGAUGCUGAUCUACUUAGCAAACAGGGAGGGCAGACAGAGAAAGUGGAAGUCUGAGGCCCUGUCUCCUUUUUGAUGAAGAUGGAAAAAUCCUCAAUGAACAGAAAGGAAAUUUUUAAAAAUCAUUUGAAAAAAUAAAUAGGUCCUCUAAGUCAGCCAAAGGGAAGCAAAGAUGUUUGUCCAGAGUGAGUUAUGUUGAAAAGUAGUUUGGUGGGUUUUUUGCUUGCUUGUUUUGGGUUUUGUGGUUUUUGUUUGUUUGUCUGUUUUGUUGAGGGUUUUUUGUUUGUUUGUUUUGUUUUGUAAAGAACUGGAAUGUAAUUAGACAUCCUUCUGAGCUUUCCUCAAGCCAGGUUCUGCAGCAGGUGAAGGGCAGAAACUCUUUCUGAGGGCCACAGUACUUGCAGAGGAGUGGGGACCACAGAUCUGUGGGAGAUAUCACAAGGACCUGUGGGAAGCAGAAAUUGCCAUUAAUCAGAGGGAGCUGAGUGAGACCUGUGGAAUGAGGCAGUUUGAGCACCCACUCUGACUAGGAUGAAGCAAGUGGGCUCACACACUAAAAUCACUGAGGAAUGGUUGCUGGAAGCUUGUCUUGAUUUGGUAUAUCUUUUAUUAAUCUUUAUUUAAUUUAUACAUCACCUCAUGCUGAAUUCCCUCAGUCUCUGUUGCAUCACUUCAAAAGUAAUUUUUCACUGUUUUCUGGUUGUCUUCCAUAUCCUCUGUUUUUUGUUGCUGUUAAUUUUUCUCCUGAAUCCAGAGCUCUUCUUGAGAAGCAUCUUCCAACAAAAGGGUUUAUUCCCUCCUCACUUAACUGGUGAAAGAUCUUGUGGGAAGGCUCUAAGGAGGAAGAAAAAAGGCUUUUGCAAGAAAGAAGAGUGCUGAGACUGAACAGUAUAUAAAGUAGAAGUAGAUUUGUAAAAUACAUUUAAACAAAUCUUAAAAUGUUUCUGUUUUCACUUAGAGCCUUCCAGAACCCACUUAUGAACACAUGUAUUGCUGGAACAUUUCUGACAGAGAUUUUUUGCAUUUCAGUCUGAUUUUUUUUUAAAUAAUAAAUUGCUGAAGUUUAGUUUUCGAACUGCAAAGGUUAUCUUGAAAACAAUGCAACAAAAGACCAAACUAGAGUAUUUCAAUAUUGACCUGGUGUAUUUGUACCACAAAUCAGAAGCUGAUAAUGACAACACUUUCUCCACAAAAUUGUUUCCUGAGCACUGACAGCUAGCAGACACUUUCAAAGAACAUUCGGCUCCAAACAACAGAGAGCUGUGUUCUCCCAGAAGUGCAGGAAUGGCUUGGAAAAGCCCAGCUAUCCCCACUUGUAUGGGCAGCUCCCUGCUGUAAGAACAUUGCCAGCUCUUCUGCCUGGGCAAUAAUAACUCACUGUGCUCUGAAGGAACAGUUUCAAGUACUACUGUUCAUCCCAUGUGUUACUAAAAGGUGAUGAACAUAAAGGCUUGUGUCAAAUAGUGUGUAGCUUAGUGCAGUUUGUAUUUCCAUGAGGUGUGCUAAGUGAGAACAGCUGGACACUGUCUACUCUAGCCCAUUGUCCUAUACAGGAAAUGCUUAAAUUUGCUUUUAUGGCUUCCAGACUAAAACUUCCUCAUCUGGGACUACCUUAUUCCUCAAGCACAGAGAGAGCUUGCUAUUUUCUCUUGCAGCUCAGCCAGACAGAAAGAACUGAGGUAGUAUAUUGAAGUGUAAAGUUGCAUGAUAUGCACAUGUUGGAUUAAGAUGCUCUUGUAGCAACCCACAGAUUGCACAGAUCCCUGUCACAACUUCAUUUUCUGCAGGUGAUUUUUGCCUUUGUAAAAGUCUCCUGGUGUGCAGCAUUCUUACCAAUAUACAAUAUAUUGAAGUCAGUUUAUAGAUUUAUUUAAUAAAGAUGUUGGAGAAAAUGAAUAAAAAUUAAGCUUUACAAGCUGCAAGACCUCUCAAAGUGAAUUAAAAUGCAGACUGAUUCUUGUUUUGUAGAAUAUUUAAAUGACUGCCUUCUUUUAUGACGUACAUACGUGUAUAAUAUGUUUCUAUAUUUUCUAUGCUUAUUCAUCUUUUUAAUAGUUAAGCAGAGUGAACACUGAUCUCUUUUCGACUUGGACUGACUUGGACUAAAAUCUUGAUUUCAAUUUUGCAAAAAAAGAAUAAUAUUCUAGCAGUAAAAGCCAUAAGGAUGUGAAUGCCAUGAUAAAGUAACUAUUUUGAUAUUUGACAAUAUUGAAGAGUUUUUUUAUUAGGAAUUACUCAUAUUACUAUUAACUAAAAACUCCCAGAAAAGUGGAACUGCUUUCUUAUGUAGUAAUAUUUCAACAGAAGAACAAACUCUGUACAUUCUGCAUGAGAACCCUGGGAAGGGAAGAACUUAAUAACAAAAAUGUUUGGAUUCACUUUUCAGCAUGAUUAAGUCAAUCAUUUUAUAUGGAUUUCAUAACCUUUAUUUUUUAUUUUAUUGGAUUUUGGAGUUUUUUGUUUAUGCUGAAGGCAUUGUUGCACUUUCCUAGGUUGACUUAAUUGAAAACUAUUGAUUCAUUAUAUUGGUUGCUCUCCUUUUUUAUUUUUUAUUUUUCACGGUCAUGACCAGUUCCAUACACAUAAAAACCUGGUGUAGAGAGAGCUGAAGUCCUCCACACUUAAAAAUCAGGUCUUAAAUAUCUUUUGCUUUUACUUUUUCAGCCUUAACUAAAGCCAUCAAGGAUGGAAUCAGCCAAACCUUCUUAACUGAGUGCUUGAAAAAUAUGAAUGCUUGGAGUAUUACUUUUUUAAUAAUUAGCAUUCAAUCAGCAUUUUUAGCAUUUUCUUUGAUUGCCAUUUCAUUAUUUAUUAUUUUUAAUUGAAUUCUGCAUUUAUAAAAAACCUCAGGAAACUAAGAAAAUGAGAGAUUCUGUUAAUUUCUGUAAAGAACGUGUACAUACCUUACCAUGAAGUAUGUCAUUUGCUUCUGAGCCUAAGCAAUGAAGUCUGCUGGCAAUGUCCUCUGGUUUUAUUUAGCAUCUAAAGCAGGGGAGAAAUGGGGAUGGGGUGAGUAGAAUCAAAAGUCAUGAAAAAAUUGAGAUUAAAUAUUUGUUGUUGUAUCAGGUGACUAUUUUGUUGUGGUUUGUUUCUAAUUAAUUUCUGUUCACAUAAAGGUGUUGAUCAGGAUACUUGGUAGAUGAAGAUGGGUUGGGCUCUGAUUUUUGGGAAAAUGGCUAUAUAAUAAAGAAGAAAAAAGCCCGACUACAAAACAAGAGGCCCAAAUAUCUAAAGAAUGAGGGUGGGGUGAGCAUGUGUGUUAAGAGUGAGAAGAGUGAGAAAGGUACUUAAGAAGGAUAGGAAAAACAUAGUAAGAACUACUCUUUUGAGAAAAAAAAAAAUUAAGAAAUAAAGUCAUUCUGGUGGGCUUUCAUCAGGGCAACAGCCCUGCCUGUUCUCAUUCCAGACACUCCCCAUUUUGUCAAACUCCAGUGUUCCCAUGGAUGUCUGACAGGAAGUGGAUAUUUUGUAUAUUUGUUCACCUUUUGCUCACCAUGACUCAAAAGGGCAGGGCUGCUCAGCCUGUAGGCCAGGGACAAUUUUAAGCCAGAGCAAGUAGUCAUAUAUAGAAGCUGGCAGAGUUUUUCUGUUCAGCCAGGGCAAUGCCAGGACUGGCAAAGCUUCCUGGACUGGCAGCAUCCUUAAUGCCACCUCCAGAACUUCAGACCUCCAUGGAAUGAGGCUCAAUAAUAAAUGAAGGUGUAGAUGAAUUCCAGAAAAAAUAUAAGGAAAAAUGUAAUUUUCAGAGAAAAAAAAGUCAAAAUAUAUACUUCCUGACAUGUAAUACUGUGAAGAUGAAAAAGAAAGAUACAAUACAGUGGAACUGAGCCUGUUUCUUUCUCCAGAUAUUUUUUUUCCUUUUUUCUGUGUAAUAAUUCAUGGCAGCAGAGUGAAUAUUCAUUUAUUAAUGUAACCAUGUGUCUGUAACUUAGUGAAGAGCUAGCAAAUGUAUUAUAUGCUAAUAACACAACAAAUACUGGAGGGUGUGUUGAGCAAAGCACAUCCAAACAUUUGGUGUCUUACACACAUUAAAGAGAGAGACACUGGGUUUUAAGGCAUCUAGAAAAACUGCAGCCAGCAUGUUACUUUUCAGGUAACCAAAAGGAUGUGACCACAUUCCUUCUACAAGCUACUUAGGUCAUUUGUAGAUCAGCACCAGUACUGUUCCAUUUUUUUGGCUAUGCCUCACUGUUGUUAAAGAGUGUGAUAUGAAUAAUGCAAGGAAUGCAUCCAGAGUGCUUCAUUGUUAUUUUGAAAUAUGUAUGACUGUUAAAGGAGUACUUGGAAAAUUAGGAGUGAAGCUCCAUUUUGCACUUUCUAGAAUUGAAGAAAUAAUUUGGUUUCAUCUCUUCAGCUUAAGUAACUCUGCUUUUGAUGUGUAGCCUGUGCACUAUCACUUUUCCCUCAUACAUUUCAACAUGAUUUUUGGUGUUGCUGAUCUGUACUGAGCUAUGGGGGAAAAAGAAGUCUAGAGAAGAGUGGGUUCAGAAGCAUGAAACAAAAUGUUUUACAUAAAAUUAAUACACCACUGACAGAUGUUCUAGGAAAGAAAGUGUUAAUCUUUAGUGAGACAGAUUUAAUUAGACUAAUAGCAGCACAUGGGAAUGAGGGUUCUAAAAUAUACUACUUAUGCUCAUAUGUCAAUACAUAACAGGAAAAGCAGAUGAAUUUUGGGACAUUAUUAACUACAAAGAGAUUAUAGCCUAAUUGCUGACACUUUUUCCAUAUGAAUGAUUUUUAUGAUGGAUUUUCAGACCCUUUUGUAAGAGUGUCAACAAUUAUCUGGUCUGAACUCAGCACACAGUGAAAAAGGACAAAGAAAUAAAUGCUCUGAUAAUAACUUUAGGUUGUGCUGUGCCAGAUACGUGCCCAGUGUUUUAAAGACAGGUGGGUCCCUGUACACAUAUCGGGAGCAUAUCCUAUUAGACUAGCAGCUGGAUACAUGGCUGGGCUGGGAAAGUUCUGAUUCUGUGGCCAAACAGAAAAAAAAAAAAAAAAUUAUUCUCUCUGAGAAUCUUCAAACUUCCAAAAGAUUAUUUUUAACUGAGUAAGAUCUGAAGGGAAGAGUGGGGUGGGGUUGUGUGAAAUACCAGAGUGAAAUAAAUAUUUUGUUGUCUCUUAAAACUGGAAACAUUUUUUGAUGAAAGGGAUUGUGUGGCUUGCAAAGGACUCAAUUCUGUUUUGUUUCCAAAGGUCAGAAAUACCUUCUUUUUGCAUUUGAAAUGUUUUCAGACACAUACCUCGACAGCCAAAAAUAUCUCCUUUUUAAAAAAAUGCAUGUAGUAUCACAAUCUGAAGAGCAAGUAUUUAGAAGAAAAUGCUGAAGUUUAUGAUAUUCUUAGAGAGAAUGUGCAAAAAUAUAACCUUUAAUAUAUUUACUAGCAAGAAACAUACGCUACCACAAACAAAUCUAUCUAGUCUCCCUGGAAAUUACUAAAAAGUGUAUGACUUCAGAAAAUAUGAUAUAUACAAUGAGCUUAACAAUGACUCUUAAGGUUCUGUUAUCAUUAGAUAUGAUGAGAUGAAGAAACUUUAUGGACUUUUCAAUUAUUUCCUUCACUCUAAAGUUCCAUAUUAAUUUCAUUUGUGAGUUAUUUUGCCUUGCUUUCUUUCUGCUCCUUGUCUUGCUUGGAAAGCUUGGGCUUUCUGUAAUGCCAAGGAACAUAGAAUAAAUACACCCAAAAUAAUCUGGAUCAGAUAACUGAUAAAUGCACCAGACAGGCAAUCUCACUGCUUCUGGGACUCAGUGUCAUGUCCCUUUGUGUGAUACUGCAUUGUGCUGUAUUAUUUAGACAUCCAGACUAUCUAGGAGGUUCCCUAAAUUAGUAACACAUGAUGCUGUUAACAUGCUGUUCAUCUGUAUUUGUGUGUUUAUCAAUUGUACAAUAAUGAUCCUUUUUCCAUUUUCCCAUAUCCUGAAGUUUAGUAGAUUAUGAUGAGAAAGGCAGAUUGAUUUAGUUACAGUUACCCCUCUGCUGCUAAUGCACUACAUUCAAGAUCUUCACAGAUCUGAUUGCUGGUUGUAUUAGGCUUCAUGAAAAAAUGCUGUGCAUAAUGUCUGUUCUCACAAAAAUAACACAAACCUUUGGAGCUGAGGUGGUGGAAGACAAAAUAAAGCGGAACAUCUGCACUUAUCUCAGGAACUCUAUCUGUAGUUUAAAGUUUUGUAAUGGAAUGGGGAGUGGCCGUUUCCAUAAACAUUUUUUUUACCUAUAUUAAUUAAGUAGUUUUUUGAAAUAAGAUAAUAUAUUGACCAAAAUAUUUUUAGUGUUCACAGAUAGUUCAUAUGCAUUGGAAACAAAUUCUUGUUGAGGAGAUGAUGACAUCCCUUUUUCUCUUCUGAUCUCAACUAUUUUUUCACUUGAAAGGCUUAGAGAUAUAGAGGAAACAAAGUAAUGCAUUUAAUCAGUAAAUAAAGAUUCAGUGUUGAUAGGAAGACCUUUUUCUAUAAACUUUGCACGUAUAGUUCCACCUUAAAUCUAUACAGCAGCUGGAAAUAGGUCAACACUGAGCAUCUUGUUGUUUGAUGAAAGAAUUCAAACCUGUUUCCAAGGUAACCAAUCCCAUCCUCUACAAAUCUCUGCCAUGCUUCUACCUGUUUUGUGAAGCUGAAUGCUUUUCUCAUUUUCUGAGGUAUAGCUUGAACUUUAACACACACAUGCACACUGCAUGCUGCUUUGUUUCCACUGUGAUGAAAGAGACAACAAAAGUAAAUAGGAGUUGGUUAAUAUUUAAGCUGUUAAUGCAGGUGUCUCAGUAGCACAUUUAUAGAGCUUUUGUAAGUGGUGCCAAGCAGUCCUUAACAAACAGCUUUUACAGGAAUGGCAGAUUAACUUUGGAUGAAUUUCUGGGUACUUGGGCGUCAGGUCAAUAUUGUCUCCUUUGUUCUCUGCUCUCUACACAGACUAGGAAGUCUAAUCUAUUCUGUGGAGAGUAACGAAGAUGUGUCAAUAGAGGCAAAUGAUAUUCACUAAUGCCAUUUAGUGCAUAAACUGCCAUGUCUCUAUCACAUUAGGUAGCUGCUCCACACAUCUGCAUGUAAAGACAGAACACUUAUUUUAGCAAAUUAUCUUUGCGCAUUCCAAGUGCAUCUACACAUGCUAAAACAUUUUCUGCAAAAGUUCAGAAAUAUGAUUUUUUUGGUUUAAAGUUACAUUUUAUUUUGAGACACUAAGAGGAUUGGAACACAAAAUAGGUGGCAAUAGAACAUAGAAGAGUACAGAGUAAAGGAGAUGUGUCAGGCACUAAAAAACCUCUUGCAAAAAUAUCUUCUUUUAUCUGGAAAAAACUGUGAACAUGAUACUUCACUGAGGAUGUUCUGAGUAUUCCCACUACAUUAAAGAAAGCAUAUUCAACUUUAUUUUACUUUUGCCUUAUUUAUUUACGUAUUGAACACACAGGCAGUUUAGAGUUUCCUAAAUGGUUGACAGAGUAAAGCAACACAUAGUAAUUGCAGCAAGAAGAAAACUGCUUUUGCUCUGAUCAAUAGGAUCAAUAGUUUCAACUCUACAGAUGAUUUUUAAUGAAGGACUUAAUAAUGAUACAGAACAUUGUUGGUCUACUAAUCUGUUAUUCAUAUCCUAUACUAGUAUUAAUUAAAGUAUUUCUGUCUGUCUUCAGUUAUUGCUAAUACACUUCCCUGAAGUGUGAUACACACUUUUUGUUUAACUUCUGGAAAUUUAAUUUGUUAUCUAAAAUGUGACCAAUUGUAUCACCUAGAUAAAUAAGCUUAGACUCCCUGUGACAGAGUGUCUCAAAUGAAGAAAACAGGCAAUUCACUAAAUUCAAUUCUACAACUGCAUGAGUGAAUAUACUGUUCUUCCAUGCCUUGCAUUUAGUUUGUAAUGCCAAGGAUGAUCUUAAGGCUUGAGAGUGUCCUGGUUCCAGUCAGGACAAGGUUAUUCUUUUUGCGGUAGCCAGGAGGGGCAUAGCUAAGACAUGGAAUUUAUUCUGUAUAAGUUCAGGAUAUUGCUGGGGCAGUCUCUUCUAGGGAGAAGGGAUUCUCUCUGGUAAAGAAAAUAUGAUGGAGGUAGCCUACCAGUACUCUUAUUAUUAGUUGGUUGGGUUUUUUUCCCAGGGACUUUGUUUGUUUUCUUAUAUCCUCUGUAAUUAGUAUUGUUGUUCAUUUUCUCAUCUCAUUUCUAUUUCCAGUAAAUUGCUCUUAUCUCACCCUGUAACCUUUGCCUUUUGUGUCUCCAGUUCCCAACUCCAUCCCACUGCAGCAGGUAGCAGGAGGUGAGGGAUGCAAGAGACAGUGGUGUGUGGUUUUGGAGAGUCUCACUGAGGGCGCUGAACCUAAACCAAACAGGGAGGAAGUUAUGAUUAGUUUUCUAUUGACAGAAUUAGGAGUAGAAAGCCACUGCCAUAAGUAAACAUCAAGACCUGAUAUUGCUCUGGGUAACUAAUGAGUGUGACCUUCAGAAGCAUUUGUCUCUGUAAUCAAAGCUGUACAGAGUUUCAGUGCAAGGUGUAUAGUUCAAGGAGAAGCAGUGAAGUUAAUUCAUGUUAAUUAUAUAAAAAAAUUAAAUUUCUCUGCCUCUUCAGUAUAAUGUCUUUUGCCAAUCAGCAUGAAGCAUAUCUGCCUAUAUCAUUAGGAAUGCAAAAACCUAUAUAGGCAUUUUUAUUUUAAAAUUAUUUAUUUUGCAAUUUUAUUUAGUUGCAAGCUGUUCAUGCAGCCAUGACCUCUUUAGGUCUUGUAUAAUAGCCUUACACAUUUUGGCCACAGGACUCACUGUGUUUAAGAAACUGCUUAUUAUCUUGUUUAUACAGAAAUAUGCACUUUAUGUUCAGUAAAUUCCUCUUUUAGAGAAGUUUUACUGCUUGCAAGUAAACAUUGCUGUUGGUAAGUUCUCAGGUCUCUGCUGGAUGUGUUUGGUUUUUUAUUUCCAUCAUUGAUCUCUAUAUUUCUAGUCCAAAGUUUAUUUUUUCUCUGCUCAUAUGUAGCAUCUCCAAACUCUUAAAAGUCUAUUUACUUUCUGUAGGUCUUGCAUAUUAAUCAACAUUCAUUUGCCUUCAGAUGUCUAAAUUUAGAUGAUUAAGCAAUAUAAUAUGAUGGGUUUUUUAAUAAUAGAAUCAAUUUCCCUUAACUUUGAAUCUCUCUUUAUUUAGGUUUUAGUCCAAGUCUGUCAUCAAGUCUCUAUGAUAAUCAAAGAGAAAUAAGGACCUGGGAGGGUUUAUAGUGAUUAUACAGUGGAUUGAACAGCUGUUUUUGCUUUGACUGAGGAUUGAACCGUGACUUUGUUAGACUGAGGAGGGGCUGAAAACACCUGGAUUACACUGGCUGUCUAGGCUUUCAGAUGCUGAAGUUAAAAGUAUUGAAUUCUAGCCUUGCCAUAUUUUAUUUUGGAUUUAGGAUUGCUCACAGCACCACAUAAAAAAACUGUAGACAUUCAGGAUGAAAAUAUCCAUCUGAGGCUAUUUUUUUUUUUUUUUUGUGUCUGCUUGGAGUUUUUGAAAAUAUCUUAGAGUAUUCUCUACUGCUACUUCAACUACCAUAAUUUUUAAAUUCAGAUUAUAAUCUAAGAUUACAAUACUUUAUUAUUUUUCCCAAUAUUCUAAUCUAUCUUUUUUAUCUUGUUUCUGUCUUCUAUAAUUUCCUAAUUUGUCUCAAAACUGUGGCAUUAAAAUGUAGCAAAAGCCCAGAAAAUGCUGAGUGGAAUGAAUAAUCCUCGCUCUUUAUAAUACCUCUUAAUUCUGUCAGGCAUUAGAUUAAUUUUGUCACUUUGUAACUUGCACUCAGUUUUUGGUCACUGCUGCCCCAAUCUUCUUUUCUUUAGGAACACUAUCUAACAUUGUCAGUUAUCUCAAAGCUCAUAUUUAUGUAUUUUGCCUCUUGUCCCAGAAGGUAGCACCUUGCACUCACUUGUAUUAAAUUCCAUCUCAUUAAUUUCAGAUUGCUCCAUCAGUCUAACAAAGCCACUUAGAAUUCUGAUCCUGUUCACUGAAAUUCUUGCAGAUACUACUGUCCAGCAUGGCCUCUACAGAAUGAAUCAGUAUGUUUCCUAUUUUGUCAUCCAGAUCAUUAAUAUAACAAAUGGAAUUGAAACCCUAUGUUCAGAUUGCCUUUCUAGCAUUCCUAGCUAACCUGAGAGCAAGUUUUAAAUUUAAAAUUUAAUAUAAGUUUUUAAUUUUUUUUUUCAGAAUCUUAUGUGCAUGUUUACUUUGCUGCUAUACAGAAAAUUCCUUUCACACAUGAAUCUUACUGAAAUCUAGAGGAAUCUCAGGCAUUUCAUCCCCUGUACUUGCCAGGUUAUUUAGGCUAUCAGUUGGCAACCCAGUUAUUUAGGCAACCCAGUUGGACUGGGCAGUCUUUGUUAGCAACAUUAGUAGCACUCUUCAGGUGUUCUUUAUUUCCAGGCAUUAAAUGGAAUGAUUUAUUUGCCUGUAACUUCUCAGCUUCUGCUUUUAAGUUUUUGGUUUUUGGGUUUUUGGUUUUUUAAAUAUAAUUUCUGUUCAUUCUUAUGUUUAAAUUCUUGGGUAGAUACUCUAGGAGUACUCAAAGGUAAUAGCUAAUAAUUUAGAGAGCACUUCAACAAGUUCCUUAAUGCCUUAAGAGAAUCAUGCUCUGCUGACUGAAAUAUGUUUGUAAAAAUCCUGGAUAUUCAUUAAAAUCUUUACUAUUUUAACAUGCAUUUCUCUCCUGUUAUUAGUCUUGUAGCAUGCAUGCAAACUAGUCUUUAUUUUAAAGAAUAAAUAAGAUAUCAAGAGAUAUCAAGUACAAUAUAUUGAACACUUGGCUUCAUAAAUCCUUUAGUACAGAUGUAUUUCUGCUUAUUCUAAUACAUAUAUAGAAAUUUUAUUUUGUUUUUUUUUGUUUUGUUUUGUUUUGUUUUUUUUUUUUUUUUAAUACUCCCUCUCUUCUCACCCAAAGCCGCUCAUAGCUUUGUUCCAUGGAAAACACCUUUCUGUUUAUCACCAAGCUUGAGGGUAGUUAUUGUGUGGGUAUGUCCUACUUUUUGUCUGUUCUGGAAAACAAAGUGGGGACUUUAUUGAGCUACUCCAGGAUCCUCAUGAUGCACCACCUAACUUAGGAACAUUUCUAUGUCUUUAGAGACACAAAUGACAUCUCUGUGUUGUAUUUAAUUCCCCAACUAACGACUGAGUGACUGAGAAUUGCCUCAUCUGUGAUUUUGUGAAACAAUAUGCAUUUUUUAGAGUAAAGGGAUCCUAUAUACUAAAUCUUAGACUAAUAGGAUGGUUUGGGUUGGAAGGACCUUCAAGAUCAUCUAGUUCACACCCUCUUCUGUGCCCAGGAACACAUUCUACCGGAUCAAGUUGUUUAAAGCCCCAUCCAAACUCAAAGCCCCAUCCAGGCUGGCCUUCCAUUUCCAGGGAUGGAACACCCACAACUUUUCUGGGUGCCUCACCAGCCUUACAGUAAAGAAUAUCUUUCCAAUAUCUUAUCAAAACCCUCUUUCUUUCAGGUUGAAGCAUUCUCCUGUGUCCUGUCAUUACAUGUCCUUGUAAAAAGUCCCUCUCCAUCUUCUUUGCAAGCUCCUUUCACAUGCUGGAAGACCAGAAUUAGGAUGCUGUGAAGCUGUCUCUUUUUCAGGCUGUACAAUCUCUCUCAGUCCUUCCGCAUAGGAGAGGCAAUCCAUCCCUCUACAUCAAUUUGGCGGCAUCCCCUUGAUAUGCUCCAGCAUUUCCAUGUCAUGCCUGUGCUGAGGACCCUAGAGCUGCAUGCAGUACUCCAGAUGGUUCUCAGCAGAGCAGAGCAGAGGGGCAGAAUCCCCUCCCUCCCCUGCUGCCCACGGGGCUCUGGAUGCAGCCCAGGACACGUUUGGCUCUCUGGGCUGUGAGUGCCCAUGGCUGGGUCAUGUGCAGCCUCUCACCCACAGCACCUCCAAGUCCUUCUCCCAAGGGUUGCUCUGGUCUGUUCAUGCCCAGUCUGUGCUGAUAGUGGGGCUUGCCCCAGUCCAGAUGCAAUACUUUGUGCUUGGUCUUGUUAAACUACAUGAGUCCACUUCUUGAGCUUGUCCAGGUCCCUCUGGAUGACAUCCCAUCCUUCAGAUGUGUCAACAGCACCACUCAGCUUGGAUUCAUCUGCAAAUUUGCUGAGGGGGCACUUGAUCCCUUUGUCUUAUGUCAUUGAUGAAGAUAUUAAAUAACUCUGGUCCCAGCAUAGACAUCUGAGGGCACCACUUGUCAGUGAUGUCAAUUGGAUCUCUGAGUCCUUGACCAUGACCCUCUGGAUGAGACCAUCCAACCAAUUUCUUAUCCAUCUAUCAGUCUGCUCCUCAAAUCUAUCGAAUUUAGAGAGACAUAUUUUUUAUUAGCAGGUAUCUUCACGGAAAAUUUUAAUGGGCUAAAUGCAUUGAUAAAAAUGUAUUUUGAUUGAGACUAGAGAAAAUGGUCAUACUUCAUACAUAAAUUCUUGGCACAAUGUUAAACGUUUGGUUAAAACCUAUUGGUUUCAGAGGCUCUUGCCAAGGGAUAUCAUAAUGCAAUGAUGUGUGAUGGGUCGGGCAGGACAAAAAUGCCUGGACUAGUGUGUAUUGAUCUCUUUUCUGAGCAAUACAAUAUAGGUCUGCAAAACUUCGUGAUUUAACAAAGACAAUUUGACCAAAAUGCUGGAAGAAUUUUACAUACCUAUUAUGACAGACUUGACAUUGGUGCUACAUCUCUCAUCAUCCUGCUAUCAGUUUUGCCUUCACAAGUUUCUCUGUAUAGUAAUGUUAUAACUUAAAGAGAAAUACCUUAAACAAAAAAAUUCAGAAAAAGGUCAACAUAUGUUAUAUCAAAAUAUUAAUUUCAGAAUCUCUUACUCCUGCUAGAGAUGAUCUCUUUUAUUUAUACAUUUUUCUGUUCCGUAAAUCAAGUGGGGAAGGUAGGAAAUAGUUCAUGGAUGAGCAAGAACCUGCUCCUCAGAGUGAGGAAUCGGAAAGAAAUAGGAAUAGGAAUAGAACAGGAAAAAAACAGUGGAAGCAGGGACAGGUGACCAGGAUGGAGAACAGGGAUACGACUCAUAUAUGUAGGGAGGGACAAGGAAAGCUGAGCUGCAUCUGGAACAGAACUUGGCAAAGGAUGUGAGAAUAACGAGAAGGGAUUUUAUGAGUACAUAGGUCAGAAGAGAAAGGCCAAGGAGGCUGUACUCCCUCUGAUAAACAAGAGAACUGGUUACGUUUAUGGAAGAGGCUAAGAGUCAGUGAGUUCUUCACCUCAGUAUUCACUGGCAGUGAGGCUUCUCACAUCUCACAAGUCUCCGAACUGGGGGAGUGAUGUCCCUUUCACUCUAAGUGAAAGACACCUUCGGUUCCAGUUGAUAAAACGGAAUGACUACAAGGACACAGGCUUUACAUUCCAGAAUUCUGAAGCAACUUUGAUGGUCUAGUUGAUGCUGUUUCCAAGCCACUCUCCAUCAUACUUGAAAAGUCACAGCACUCAAGGGAUGCCCCUGGGGACUGGAAAAAGGGGAAAAAUUAUUAGAAAUGAAGAAUGAAACAUCCAGGGAACUACAGAGCAGUGAGCCUCAACUCUGUCCCUGGGAAGAUCAUAAAGGAGAGCCUCAUGGAAGCAAUGUUAAGGAAUAUAAAGAACAACAAAGAAAUCUGAGCCAAUGCCACUUCACUAAGGGAAAAUUGUGCCUGACAUAUUUGGGGGCCUUCUAUGAUGGAGUGACUGCAAUGGUCAGCAAGUGAAGACUGACAGAUGCCAUCUACCUAGCUUUCUGUAAUCCUUUGACACAGUCACAUACAACCUCCUGAUCCAGACUGGAGAGAUAUGGGUCUGAAGGGUGACUUACUUCAUGGAUAAGAAAAUGACUGGCUGGACAGAGCCAGAGAGUUGAAGUCAAUAACCCUAUGUCUGGGUAGCAACUGGUGAUGGGUAGUAUCCCUCAGGGCUGUCUUGGGGCCAGAACCCUUUAAUAUUUUUAUCAAUGACUCAGACAGGGGAUCAAGUGCACCCUCACAAGUUUGCAGGUGGCACAAGCUGAACAGUGCAGGUGACACAGAAGGACAGGUUGCCAUCCAGAGAAGUGACCCACAGGAACCUGACACACUUCAACAAGGCCAAGUGCAACUUCCAGUACAUAAAGAUGGCUUAUUAAAAAACAAGAGAGCAACUUUUUACAUGGGCAUAUAGUGACUAGACAAGGGGAAAUGAAUUGAAAAUAAAAGAGGGAAAAUUUAGAAAUUAGGUGGAAAAACUUUACCAUGAACAUGGUAAGGCACUGGAAUAAGUUUGCUCAGGAAGGCUGCGGACGUCCCAUUCCUGGAAGUGCUGCGUCAGGUUUUGAGCAACACAAUGUAGUGAAAGUUGUCCCUGCCCAUUGCAGAGCAGUUGGAACUGGAAGAUUUUUAAGGUCCCUUUUAACCCAAACCAUUCUUUGAUGCCAUGAUUCUUUGCAUAAUUAGUAGAAUAAUUUGUAUUAUCCAAACAAAAACCAAGUCCUUCAUUUUAUACAAAAAUCAAAUACCAAAAUUGUCAGCAUGCACAGUGGUAUUGUAAUUGUGGUGAUGUAAGACAUAAGUAGAGAGACAUUGAUAUGCAAAUGUGUUAAUUUUAUUGAGUCACUCAGUGUAUUGAAAAAAACAGAGACCACUUUGGAUUGCCUUGAAUAGCCUUGUUGCUUGAAGCCAUGCCACAUUAAGAUAGGAUACAAACUGAUAUGUUUAAAAUGCACAAUAUUGUUACAAAUAUUUUUUAUAGGGAAGGGUUGCUGAACUGAAAGAAACCCAAAACAUACUUUGUCUGCUUAGACAACAAUUAGAUCAAAAGGACCUUCUCCCACUACAUAUUUGAUUUUUGCUGUAAAGCAGCGUAAAAUUGUUCUGGCACUGAACAAAUCCCUGCAGGAUGCAUUUGGUCAUGUUUCCCUGAGCCUAUAGUUUCCUGUGAAAAAUGGCUGAAGAAGGCACUGACUAACCUCAUGAGUUGUUCAAGCUCUCCUUCCCAACACCUUCAGAGAACAUCAUGUUUCUGCUGUGCAUGGAUUCAAAGACUAUUAAACAUCUUUUUCUAUUAAUCUACAGUUAUUUGCAAACUUGUAUCUUCAGUGUUUUGGGUUUUUGUAAGAACUACUUGGCUGUGGGGGGGUUGAAAACAUCUCUAUUAUCCAUAUUUUCAGAAAACCUUGAUUUACUUAAUUAUGUACCCAGGUAGACAUCCUCACUUUUUGUAUAUUAAUUGGUAUAAUAUUUAAUGGGAAAAUUACAUGUUGAGCAUGAAUAAAAGUAUUCAUGCCAUGUAAAAUGCUGAAGUAUGGAAAAAAAUUAAAUACUUUUUUUGAGGCCUACAAAUUUUUAAGUCUUUAUUCUUUUUUUGGAUAAAAUCCUUGGGUUUUGGCUUCCAUCUGCUACAUUUAAUUUCUUUUUUUGUUGUUGUUGCUAUUUCCAUCUGUCAGUUACAACAAGCUAGC